GUGGAUUAGAUACCCUGGUAGUCCACGCCGUAAACGAUGUCGAUUUGGAGGCUGUGUCCUUGAGACGUGGCUUCCGGAGCUAACGCGUUAAAUCGACCGCCUGGGGAGUACGGCCGCAAGGUUAAAACUCAAAUGAAUUGACGGGGGCCCGCACAAGCGGUGGAGCAUGUGGUUUAAUUCGAUGCAACGCGAAGAACCUUACCUGGCCUUGACAUGUCUGGAAUCCUGUAGAGAUACGGGAGUGCCUUCGGGAAUCAGAACACAGGUGCUGCACGGUCGUCGCCAACU
rnacentral:rRNA from 1 species